UACGUAGGUGGCUAGCGUUAUCCGGAAUUACUGGGCGUAAAGGGUGCGUAGGUGGUUUCUUAAGUCAGAGGUGAAAGGCUACGGCUCAACCGUAGUAAGCCUUUGAAACUGGGGAACUUGAGUGCAGAAGAGGAGAGUGGAAUUCCUAGUGUAGCGGUGAAAUGCGUAGAGAUAUGGAGGAACACCAGUGGCGAAGGCGGCUUCCUGGUCUGCAACUGACACUGAGGCGCGAAAGCGUGGGGAGCAAACAGG
rnacentral:rRNA from 1 species